AGUUUGAUCCUGGCUCAGAGUGAACGCUGGCGGCAGGCCUAACACAUGCAAGUCGAACGGCAGUACAGUAAGAGCUUGCUCUUAUGGGUGGCGAGUGGCGGACGGGUGAGGAAUACAUCGGAAUCUACUCUUUCGUGGGGGAUAACGUAGGGAAACUUACGCUAAUACCGCAUACGACCUACGGGUGAAAGCGGAGGACCUUCGGGCUUCGCGCGGUUGAAUGAGCCGAUGUCGGAUUAGCUAGUUGGCGGGGUAAAGGCCCACCAAGGCGACGAUCCGUAGCUGGUCUGAGAGGAUGAUCAGCCACACUGGAACUGAGACACGGUCCAGACUCCUACGGGAGGCAGCAGUGGGGAAUUUUGGACAAUGGGCGAAAGCCUGAUCCAGCCAUGCCGCGUGCAGGAUGAAGGCCUUCGGGUUGUAAACUGCUUUUGUACGGAACGAAAAGCCUCUUUCUAAUAAAGAGAGGUCAUGACGGUACCGUAAGAAUAAGCACCGGCUAACUACGUGCCAGCAGCCGCGGUAA
rnacentral:rRNA from 1 species